AUUGAACGCUGGCGGCAUGCUUAACACAUGCAUGUCGAACGGCAGCGCGGGAAAGCUUGCUUUCCUGGCGGCGAGUGGCGGACGGGUGAGUAAUACUUAGGAAUCUGCCCACUAGGUGGGGGAUACGGCCCGGGGGAAAACUCGGAUUAAUACCGCAUAACGCCCGUACGGGGGGAAGCGUGGGGACCCAGCACCAUAGUCCUUUUGCUAACCGAUCAAGGCGAUGAGAGGCUAUUGUGCUGGGCCUGGCGCUAGUGGAUGAGCCUAAGUCCUAUCAGC
rnacentral:rRNA from 1 species